rnacentral:rRNA from 1 species
AUCCGGCGGGUGCAACUACAUGAUGACAGGGCUGAUGGCAUAGUAUGGAACCUCACGACCGAUGGAGUUUACUCUUCGGCCUUGGCCUACAGGGCGCAAUUUGAGGGGACUGUGGCCACCAACAUGACGAAGGUUGUCUGGGGUAAUUGGGGGCCUCCCAAGUGCAAAUUCUUCGCGUGGCUCGUCAUCAUGAAUCAAAUUUGGACGACGGAUCAGCUACAGAGGAGAGGAUGGCCAAAUUGCAACUUCUGUCAACUCUGUAAGAGGGAGCCUGAGACGGCGGCGCACUUCCUUUUCUAG